ACAGGGUGCGGUGGCACGUGCCUGUAGUCCCAGCUAUUUGGGAGGCUGAGGUGGGAGAAUCGCUUGAGCCCAGGAGUUCUCGGCUGUAGUGCACUAUGCCGAUCGGGUGUCUGCACUAAGUUCGGCAUCAAUAUGGUGACCUCCCGGGAGCGGGGGACCACCAGGUUACCUAAGGAGGGGUGAACCGGCCUAGGUCGGAAAUAGAGCAGGUCAAAACUCCCAUGCUGAUCAGUAGUAGGAUGGUGCCUGUGAAUAGCCACUGCACUCUAGCCUGGGCAACACAGCAAGACCCUGUCUCU
rnacentral:SRP_RNA from 1 species